UGCCCCCUGCAUUGUCCGGGAAUGUGGAUGCAGUAGUCAUGCAGUGGAUGUAGUGUCCCACAAGUUAGAUGUAGCAUGUUGUGACGGAGGAUGCAGUGCCCAUGAAGGUGGAUGCAGUGAUCCUGCAGUGGUUGCAGAGCCCCAUGCAUUUUACCUGAAUGUGGAUGCAGUGCUCAUGCAGUGGAUGCAGUGUCCCACAAUGUGGAUGACUUAUGUUGUGAUGGAGGAUUCAGUGAUCAUGAAGGAGGAUGCAGUGAUCCUGCAGUCAUUGCAGUGCAACUGCAUUGCCACUUCAGCUGGCUGCAGUGUCUCUGAAGUGGCAGCAGUGCCCUUUUCUAUGUCCCUGAGUGUGGAUACAGUGCACAUGCAGUGGAUGCCACGUACCAAAAUUUGUUACAAUAUGUUGUGACAGAGGAUGCAGUACCCACGAGUUGGAUGGAGUGAACAGACUGUGAGUGCAGUACACCUUCAGUGCAACUUCAGCUGGAUGCAGUGUUGCAGCAGUGGUUGCAGUGCACCCUGCAUUGUCCAGGAAUGUGGAUGCAGUGCCUAGGCAGUGGAUGCAGUGUCCCACAAGGUGGAUGCAGUAUGUUAUGACGGAUGAUGCAGUUCUCAUGAAGGUGGAUCCAGUGUCCCUGCAGUGCUUGCAGUGCCUGCCACACUGUCCGGGAAUGUGGAUUCAGUAGUCAUGCAGUGGAUGCAGUGUCCCACAAGGUGGAUGCAGUAUGUUGUGAUGGAGUAUGAAAGGCCCACGAAGGUGGAUGCAGUGAUGAUGCAGUGGUUGCAGUGCCCCCUACAGUUCCCUGAAUGUGAAUGCAGUGCUCAUGCAGUAGUUGCAGUGUCCCACAAUGUGGAUGUCUUAUGUUGUGAUGGAAAAUGCAGUGCACACGCAGGUGGAUGCAGUGAGCGUGUGCUGAAUGCAGUGUGCCAGCAGUGAGACCUCAGCUGUACACAGUGACCCUGCAGUGGUUGCAGUGCCAAUUGCAUUGUCCCAGAACGUGGAUGCAGUGCCCAGGCAUUGGGUGCAGUGUCCCUCAAGGUGGAUGAAGUAUGUUGUGACAGAGGAUGCAGUGUCCAUGAAGGUGGAUGUAAUGUCCCUGCAGUGGUUGCAGUGCCCCCAUCAUUGUCCUGGAAUUUGGAUGCAGUGGUCAUGCAGUGGAUGCAUUAUCUCACAAGGCGGAUGCAGUAUGUUUUCUCGGAGGAUGCACUGCCAAUGAAGGUGGAUGCGGUGAACCUGCAGUGGUUGCAGUGUCCCCUACAGUUUCCCUGAAUUUGGAUGCAGUGCUCAUGUAGUUCAUGCAGUGUCAUACUAGGUGGAUGCCGUAUGUUGUGACGGAGGCAGUGCCCACAAGGGUUGAUGCAGUGAGCCUGCAGUGAUUGCAGUGCGCCUGCAGUGCCACUUCAGCUGGAUGCAGUGGUUGCUGAGCCAACUUCAGUGUCCCUGAACGUGGAUGCAGUGCCCAUGCAGUGGAUGAAGUUUCCCACAAUGUGCACGCAGUAUGUUGUGACAGAGCAUGCAGUACCCAUCAAGGUGGAUGCAGUGAUCCUGCAGCGUUUGCAGUGCCCCCUGCAGUUUACCUGAAGGUGGAUGCAGUGCUCAUGCAUUCGAUGCAGUGUCCCUCAAGGUGGAUGCCUUAUGUUGUGAUGGACGAUUCAGUGAUCAUGAAGAAGGAUGCAGUGAUCCUGCAGUCAUUGCAGUGCACCUGCAGUGCCACUUCAGCAGGCUGCAGUGUCCCUGCAGUGGUUGCAGUGCCCUGUUCUGUGUCCCUGAAUGUGGAUGAAGUGCCCAUGCAGUGGAUGCAGAGUACCAAAAGUUGGUUGUCCUAUAUUAUGACAGA
ensembl:lncRNA